AAGCGCACAGUACCGCAUGGUACGGUGUGAAAAACUCCGGUGGUAUGAGAUGGACCCGCGUCUGAUUAGGUAGUUGGUGGGGUAACGGCCUACCAAGCCGACGAUCAGUAGCCGACCUGAGAGGGUGACCGGCCACAUUGGGACUGAGACACGGCCCAAACUCCUACGGGAGGCAGCAGUGGGGAAUAUUGCACAAUGGGGGAAACCCUGAUGCAGCGACGCCGCGUGAGCGAUGAAGUAUUUCGGUAUGUAAAGCUCUAUCAGCAGGGAAGAAAAUGACGGUACCUGACUAAGAAGCCCCGGCUAACUACGUGCCAGCAGCCGCGGUAAUACGUAGGGGGCAAGCGUUAUCCGGAUUUACUGGGUGUAAAGGGAGCGUAGACGGCAUGGCAAGCCAGAUGUGAAAGCCCGGGGCUCAACCCCGGGACUGCAUUUGGAACUGUCAGGCUAGAGUGUCGGAGAGGAAAGCGGAAUUCCUAGUGUAGCGGUGAAAUGCGUAGAUAUUAGGAGGAACACCAGUGGCGAAGGC
rnacentral:rRNA from 1 species